GCUUACGACCACACCGGCCGAGUACGCCUGAUCUCGUCUGAUCUCGGAAGCUAAGCAGGGUCGGGCCUGGUUAGUACUUGGAUGGGAGACGCCUGGAAUACCAGGUGCUGUAAGCU
rnacentral:rRNA from 1 species